rnacentral:rRNA from 1 species
AAUGGCAGGUCAGCAUACUGCCGUGAAUACGUUCCCGGGCCUUGUACACACCGCCCGUCACACCAUAAGAGUUGGGAAUACCCGAAGCCUGUGAGCUAACAUUUAUGAGGCAGCAGUCGAAGGUAGAAUCAAUGAUUGGGGUGAAGUCGUAACAAGGUACC